GGUAAAAUGGCUGAGUAAAGCAUUAGAUUGUAAAUCUAACACAGGACUCAGUCCCCUUUUUACCA
rnacentral:tRNA from 1 species